rnacentral:rRNA from 1 species
GCUUCUUUUCCCACCGGAGCUUGCUCCACCGGGAAAAGAGGAGUGGCGAACGGGUGAGUAACACGUGGGUAACCUGCCCAUCAGAAGGGGAUAACACUUGGAAACAGGUGCUAAUACCGUAUAACAAUCGAAACCGCAUGGUUUCGUUUUGAAAGGCGCUUUACGGUGCCGCUGAUGGAUGGACCCGCGGUGCAUUAGCUAGUUGGUGAGGUAACGGCUCACCAAGGCCACGAUGCAUAGCCGACCUGAGAGGGUGAUCGGCCACAUUGGGACUGAGACACGGCCCAAACUCCUACGGGAGGCAGCAGUAGGGAAUCUUCGGCAAUGGACGAAAGUCUGACCGAGCAACGCCGCGUGAGUGAAGAAGGUUUUCGGAUCGUAAAACUCUGUUGUUAGAGAAGAACAAGGGUGAGAGUAACUGUUCACCCCUUGACGGUAUCUAACCAGAAAGCCACGGCUAACUACGUGCCAGCAGCCGCGGUAAUACGUAGGUGGCAAGCGUUGUCCGGAUUUAUUGGGCGUAAAGCGAGCGCAGGCGGUUUCUUAAGUCUGAUGUGAAAGCCCCCGGCUCAACCGGGGAGGGUCAUUGGAAACUGGGAGACUUGAGUGCAGAAGAGGAGAGUGGAAUUCCAUGUGUAGCGGUGAAAUGCGUAGAUAUAUGGAGGAACACCAGUGGCGAAGGCGGCUCUCUGGUCUGUAACUGACGCUGAGGCUCGAAAGCGUGGGGAGCAAACAGGAUUAGAUACCCUGGUAGUCCACGCCGUAAACGAUGAGUGCUAAGUGUUGGAGGGUUUCCGCCCUUCAGUGCUGCAGCUAACGCA